UUGUAUAUCUUGCAAAGUUCUUUGAUAUUUUUUAAAGAUUAUCAAGAUAUCAUAAACCUCGCCUUUUUUCUUUUUUUUCCUCCAUAUUCCCCGUUUUAUAUUUUCCCUGUCUUUCUCAGAUUUAUUCCUUUUACCCAAUAUUUUCAUUUCUCUUAGUAUUUUAGAAUACAACCAUCUUACCCAUCCAUCUAUUCUACUUAAUUUUAUUCUAGUAUAGAUCCUCUGAAAUUCAUUCUUUUAUAAAAAAAUUAGAGUAAUUUUUGGAAUCGCAUCUCAACCAUCUCAAUUGUGAAAAACGUACUGGUUUUUUAAACAUAUUGAGAUCUAAUUGUAGACAAAGGUGAUAUUUACCCUAAAAAACAGGAUUUCCCAUAAAUCACAAUGUCGUCAAAAAAAUCAUCAGCACCAAAAUUGGAUAAACAAGAGGAUUGUAAGGGUUCUUUCUUAAAUUUACCUCAUGAGAUAUUGGAUUGCAUUCUUAAGCAACUUUCACCAAAAGAUUUGUUCAUGGUAGCACAUGUGUGUACUCACUUGAGGAAUAAUAGUAGAAGUGAUUAUUUAGGGAAUCAACAUGUGGAACAUAAAUGGAGUAAGUUGGUAGGAGAAGACUUUCACAAUGAGUGGAACUAUCAUAUUGGUAAAAUUAGAAAUGAAGAAAGUUUGGUUUUACACCACAAUCAGAGUAAGUCAUAUGGAAAUAUUAGUGGUGAUCACCCAUAUCAACGCCUUCAUUCUUAUUUGAAAAGUAAUAGAGCAUUGGAUGAUUUGAUUAAAAAUCAUUCACAAAUGGCUUUGUAUAUUUGCCUUGAGACUGGUCGCUUUUGGUUUCCUAUUCAAAUAUACAAGGGAAGAUCAACCAAAUUAUAACAUCUAUUAUGUAAUUUAUUAUUGCAUUAAAUAGUCUAAAUAUUAUUAUUUUUCAUUUCUACUAGUAAAACUCUGAUUUAUUAAGUAUCAUUUCACUCAUACAUAGUAUUUCAAGUUCAUUAAAACAUUAAGCAAAUCAUUCAUGAUUACAAGAUUUCCACAUUGUUUUUUAACUCGAUUACGUUGGUCCAUAAUAUAUUGUUAGUGCAUAAUCAUAGAAAUUAAUGAAACAUAUUUUUGAAAAAAAUGUGACACAAUAUAUUACUGUUAUUUUAGGUAGGAGUAUAAGAAGUAUAUAGAACAUAAUUGAUACCCUAGAAACUAAAUAGGGAUUUAGUAUAAUCUCAUUUACUUUUAUCAUUUGG